AACGAACGCUGGCGGCAGGCCUCAAACAUGCAAGUCUAGGGGGUGCAGCAAUGCAUCACCGGCGGACGGGUGCGUAACGCGUGGGAAUAUACCUUUUGGUUCGGAACAACUGCGGGAAACUGCAGCUAAUACCGAAUGUGCCCUAACGGGGAAAGAUUUAUCGCCAAAGGAUUAGCCCGCGUAGGAUUAGCUAGUUGGUGAGGUAAUGGCUCACCAAGGCUCCGAUCCUUAGCUGUUCGAGAGGAAGAUCAGCCACACUGGGACUGAGACACGGCCCAGACUCCUACGGGAGGCAGCAGUU
rnacentral:rRNA from 1 species